rnacentral:rRNA from 1 species
UACGGAGGACCCGAGCGUUAUCCGGAUUCAUUGGGUUUAAAGGGUGCGUAGGUGGACUGGUAAGUCAGUUGUGAAAGUUUGCGGCUCAACCGUAAAAUUGCAGUUGAUACUGGACGUCUUGAGUGCAUUAAAUGUGGGCGGAAUUCGUGGUGUAGCGGUGAAAUGCUUAGAUAUCACGGAGAACUCCAAUUGCGAAGGCAGCUCACUGGACUGUAACUGACGCUGAUGCUCGAAAGUGUGGGUAUCAAAC